GACCUCCGUAAUACCAUAGACGAAGAUUCGUUUGCUGCUUGUUUAUUCCGUUGGUGAUAGCUAUAUAAAGGAGUAAUCACGUGUCCACACCGUCUAUUUCAAAGACCGUUGGCAGAUUUUUUUCGUUCUUGUCUACUCAUCCAACACCGGUCUCGUCAUUGCAUCCUCACAAAUGGCUGAUCCCAAAUACGCCAACUUGCCUGGAAUUGCGUCCAACGAGCCAGAUGUAUAUGAGACCAGCGAGCUGCCAGAAGAUGACCAGGCACAGUUUGAGUCGCUGGAAGAGCUGUGCAGUGACAGUGUGGAGAGGAUCGUGGUCAACCCUAAUGCAGCUUACGACAAGUUCAAGGACAAACGCGUCAGUACUAAAGGAAUCGACUUCUCAGACUGUAUCAGUAAGGACAAAAGAGUGGGCUAUGAGUCUGGAGAAUAUGAGAUCUUGGCGGAGGGCUGUGGGGUGAAGGAAACCCCCCAGCAGAAGUACCAGCGGCUGGUCAAUGAGAUCCAGGAGCUCAGUCAUGAGGUGGAAACCAUCCAGGCGACCACGAAGGAUAGCAGUGCAGAGGAGCGUCUGACCCCAGUAGUCCUAGCCCAGCAAGCUGCCCAGCUCAAACAGCAGCUGGUCUCUGCCCACCUGGACACUCUGCUGGGACCACAGGCACAUAUCAACCUAGCUGACCCAGACAGAGCACUGGCCAAGCGUCUGCUAACCCAGCUGGAGGCAGCGAGGAGCAGUAGGAGGAGUACAGGGGAGGGGAAGGCCUCAGCAGCAUCUAAAGCUCCCGAUGGUGUGGUGCUCUAUGAGCUGCACAGCCGGCCAGAGCAGGAGAAGUUCACAGAUGCUGUCAAGAUGGCAGAGCUUGAGAAGCGGCUUGCAGAGCUGGAGACUGCUGUGGGCUCUGGAUCAGACAAACAGGGUCCUCUGAGUGCUGGGGUGCAGGGAGGCAGUCUCAUGGACACCAUGGAGCUGCUGCAGGCGCGGGUCAGUGCUCUGGACUCAGCCACUCUGGACCAGAUAGAGGCCAGACUGCAGAGUGUCCUUGGGAAGAUGAAUGAGAUUGCAAAGCACAAGGCAGCUAUCGAAGAUGCUGAUACACAAAACAAGGUGUCUCAGCUGUAUGACGUGGUGCAGAAGUGGGACGCCAUGGCAACCUCUCUGCCUCAGGUGGUGCAGAGGCUCAUGGCUGUCAAAGAGUUGCAUGAAGAAGUCUAUCUAUAGCCAUGCAGUUUGGUCAGCUGCUGACCCACCUGGACACCACCCAGCAGAUGAUCAACAACUCUCUGAAGGACAACGGAACACUGCUCUCACAGGUGCAGACGACCAUGAAGGAGAAUCUCCUGUCGGUAGAAGAAAACUUUGCUGCCCUGGACCAGAGGAUGAAAAAGUUCAACAAAUAAAUCUGCUUAGUUUGAAAAACUGCUCUUGGUCGAGUUUGGAAAAUGUCGGAGAGGGAGAGAUUGGAGUCUUUUCCACUUCUCUCCCUGUCUGUCUUCAUCUAUUCCUCUGCCUUUUUUUCUGGAAGCCGGAAUGUUUGAUCAAGUGGAUUAUAAUAAAAAAUGGAGACCAAAUGUUCUUGUCUAUUCUCCCUUCCCAACCUCUUUCUUUCCCAUUGAAACAUGUUAUAUUUGGUAUGCAAUGCAAUACGCCACCCACUAUACAGAAUCCCAUUGAAAUGUUUACUUUGGCUGAAAUGCAUUAUUAUUAUGGAGUGGCUGCGGAUCUGACCAUUUGGGGAUCUUUAGUCUUUAGUCCAAAGCUUCUGCACAUGUGCGGAUCACGUUCUGCGCAGGUGUGUAUAUUCUCCACUUUACGCACAGGACAAGCUACUCAGGCAGAUGAUGCUACUUUUAAUAGUCAUAUUAAAGCUCAAUGUCUGCAAGAUCACAUAAUGAUCACAGUAUUCUACAUAACAUAACCUAAUAUAAUAGCCUAGUAUAACAUUACUGUAAAACAGAAACACUAUUCAAUAGUGAACGAUCAUUCUUCAAGUUUUACAGGUGAAACAUCCAUGUGGCAUACUUCUGCAUUGUAACCAUUUGAUCUUGAUCAGUUUCAUGAGUAUACGCAUUUAGGUGUUCUUGAGUUAUACAGUGUUUUGAAGUAGCCUGUCGUUUUGAAUGAUGCAAAGGGAAUGAAUUUUAGAUCAGAUGGUGUUAACUGUAGCCUGCCUGUGUAUUUUGUCUAGUGGCGCGCGCGGUUGAGUUUUGGCCGUGAGAGAAAUGCCAUGGUGUUUUUGUUUUACAAUAACGUUUUACUAUGUUUGGUUCUGUUAUGUAGAUUACUGUGAAUAUUAUGUGACCUUGCAGACAUUGGUCUAAACUUUACUAAACAAGCACCAUUCGACCUGAGUAGCCUGUUCUCUACGAGUAAAGUAGAGAAUACAUGCGUAGAUCGUUAUAUUUUUGAUUUAACCUUUAACUAGGCAAGUCGGUUAUUUACAAUGAUGGCCAAACCCUAACGGCGCUGGGCCAUAUGCCCAGAAGCUUCAGCUAUUUUCUUUUUUGACUAAAGAUGGCUCCACAGACUCCCACUAUAUACACACACAUCACUUAAUAUUCACGUUCCCUUCAAAGCUUGAUUGCUUUUAGACUGAAGUGAUUCUCAAUGAAAAUGGAUCCAUAACCUUUCAACCUCUUCAACCACACGGUUUAAGUAUUUUCAACAACAUUCAUUCAGCUAAGUCAAUUUAUUUUCCUGUUUUGGCAGAGCUCAAUGUAAAGAUAUGGCUCUGGUUUGAGAAGUGUUCAGAACAACAACAAAAACAAAGGUGAAAUGGCAUGUUUAAGAAAGGACAUGUCUACAACUGCACAAAAACUAACCAUCGGUUGCAUCCCAAUUGUCCACUCUUCUCCCAAAUGUGCACUUGCACACUUCCCGUCAUGGAUAUAGCAAUGGUGGAAACUUCCUCCAGCCAAUGCCUACACCAAACCAAUGAUGGGAAGUGUGCAACUGGCAGAAGGGUGGAGAAUUGGGAUGUGCAUUGUCAUCCAUCUUCCUACUGGUGUAGCAGCAGGAGCACCUACAGUACCUGUGUGUGUUGGGGGCCUGAAGUCAUGAAGGAAUGCUUGUAAAUACACUUGUGUACUUAAUGUUUCAUGCUCAGUUGCUUGUAACUAUUGUAUUAUGACAGACUAAAAUGCCACAGAAAAACUAAUUUUAAUCUACUGUGUCAUUGCUUACGAUGGACUGUAAUUGUACCUGACCCAGGUGAUGGGAUAUCUGAAUAAAACAUGCUUUAACUACACUCACUUUUUGAGAGGGAGAGAA